rnacentral:rRNA from 1 species
AUUGAACGCUGGCGGCAGGCUUAACACAUGCAAGUCGAGCGGAGAUGAGGUGCUUGCACCUUAUCUUAGCGGCGGACGGGUGAGUAAUGCUUAGGAAUCUGCCUAUUAGUGGGGGACAACAUUCCGAAAGGAAUGCUAAUACCGCAUACGUCCUACGGGAGAAAGCAGGGGAUCUUCGGACCUUGCGCUAAUAGAUGAGCCUAAGUCGGAUUAGCUAGUUGGUGGGGUAAAGGCCUACCAAGGCGACGAUCUGUAGCGGGUCUGAGAGGAUGAUCCGCCACACGGGGACUGAGACACGGCCCAGAAUCCUACGGGAGGCAGCAGUGGGGAAUAUUGGACAAUGGGGGGAACCCUGAUCCAGCCAUGCCGCGUGUGUGAAGAAGGCCUUAUGGUUGUAAAGCACUUUAAGCGAGGAGGAGGCUACUGAGACUAAUACUCUUGGAUAGUGGACGUUACUCGCAGAAUAAGCACCGGCUAACUCUGUGCCAGCCGCCGCAGUAACAC